rnacentral:misc_RNA from 1 species
UUUCCGUAGGUGAACCUGCGGAAGGAUCAUUAUUGUAUAACCGAGGUGCGAGGGCUGUCGCUGACCCGAAAGGUCGUGCACGCCCGAGUGCCCUCACGCACGUCCAUCUCACCCCUAUGUGCACCACCGCGUGGGUCCCCCUUUGGCUUGUUCGGAGGGGGGCUUACGUUUUCACACAAACUUUGUAUGCAGUGUAGAAUGUAUUUUUUGUUUUUGCGAUCACGCAAUCAAUACAACUUUCAACAACGGAUCUCUUGGCUCUC